AGCCCUUGACAUGGGCGUCGCGGGUGGGGAGACCCACCUUUCGGUUCGGCCGGACGCCGCACAGGUGCUGCAUGGCUGUCGUCAGCUCGUGUCGUGAGAUGUUGGGUUAAGUCCCGCAACGAGCGCAACCCUCAUCUUCAGUUGCCAUCGGGUAGAGCCGGGCACUCUGGAGAAACCGCCGGUGACAAGCCGGAGGAAGGCGGGGAUGACGUCAAGUCCUCAUGGCCCUUAUGGGCUGGGCUACACACGUGCUACAAUGGUGGUGACAGUGGGCAGCGAGAUCGCGAGAUCGAGCCAAUCUCCAAAAGCCAUCUCAGUUCGGAUUGCACUCUGCAACUCGGGUGCAUGAAGUUGGAAUCGCUAGUAAUCGCGGAUCAGCACGCCGCGGUGAAUACGUUCCCGGGCC
rnacentral:rRNA from 1 species